rnacentral:rRNA from 1 species
UACAGCGACUGCGAAUGGCUCAUUAUAUAAGUUAUCGUUUAUUUGAUAGUACCUUACUACUUGGAUAACCGUGGUAAUUCUAGAGCUAAUACAUGCUAAAAAUCCCGACUUCGGAAGGGAUGUAUUUAUUAGAUUAAAAACCAAUGCCCUCUGGGCUCCUUGGUGAUUCAUGAUAACUCUUCGAAUCGCACGGCCUUGCGCCGGCGAUGGUUCAUUCAAAUUUCUUCCCUAUCAACUUUCGAUGUUUGGGUAUUGGCCAAACAUGGUUGCAACGGGUAACGGAGGGUUAGGGCUCGACCCCGGAGAAGGAGCCUGAGAAACGGCUACUACAUCCAAGGAAGGCAGCAGGCGCGCAAAUUACCCAAUCCCGAUUCGGGGAGGUAGUGACAAUAAAUACUGAUACAGGGCUCUUUUGGGUCUUGUAAUUGGAAUGAGUACAAUUUAAAUCCCUUAACGAGGAACAAUUGGAGGGCAAGUCUGGUGCCAGCAGCCGCGGUAAUUCCAGCUCCAAUAGCGUAUAUUAAAGUUGUUGUGGUUAAAAAGCUCGUAGUUGAACCUUGGGCCUGGCUGGCCGGUCCGCCUCACCGCGUGCACUGGUCCGGCCGGGCCUUUCCCUCUGUGGAACCCCAUGCCCUUCACUGGGCGUGGCGGGGAAACAGGACUUUUACUUUGAAAAAAUUAGAGUGCUCCAGGCAGGCCUAUGCUCGAAUACAUUAGCAUGGAAUAAUGAAAUAGGACGCGUGGUUCUAUUUUGUUGGUUUCUAGGACCGCCGUAAUGAUUAAUAGGGACAGUCGGGGGCAUCAGUAUUCGAUCGUCAGAGGUGAAAUUCUUGGAUUGAUUGAAGACUAACUACUGCGAAAGCAUUUGCCAAGGAUGUUUUCAUUAAUCAGGAACGAAAGUUAGGGGAUCGAAGACGAUCAGAUACCGUCGUAGUCUUAACCAUAAACUAUGCCGACUAGGGAUCGGACGAUGUUAUUUUUUGACGCGUUCGGCACCUUACGAGAAAUCAAAGUGCUUGGCUCCAGGGGAGUAUGGUCGCAAGGCUGAAACUAAAGAAAUGACGAGGCACCACCAGGUUGG